AAGUCGUAACAAGGUUUCCGUAGGUGAACCUGCGGAAGGAUCAUUAUCGAUUCAACCAAAUGAGAGGGGAGUUGUUGUAGCUGUGCUGGUCUUCUAACGGAGACAUGUGCACGCUCGACUUCUUCCUUUCUUCAUUUACACACCUGUGAACUUGUUGUAGGGUGUCUCGCAAGAGAUGCUCUAUGUCUUUUCAUAUACUCCAAUACUAGUCUAUAGAAUGUCAUCUUUUUGCUCUCGUCAGAGACAAAAAUAAAACCUUUAUAACUUUCAGCAACGGAUCUCUUGGCUCUC
rnacentral:misc_RNA from 1 species